rnacentral:misc_RNA from 1 species
CCUUGGAAAGAAAGGUCGGCUUGGAACUGCAGUGUAAAGCUCAGCUGGCCAAUAUGCGAUAAAAUUAUCAUGAUCUUUAUGUUUAGAUUUUCCAGCAUAUGCAAUCCUUUGAUUGACCAUAAAAGUAGCCAAUGCCUCCCAACAUAUUGGCAAUAGCAACCUUACCAACAAUUCUGGAUUCAGAUUCAAGCUUGCCAGCAAUAUUAAAGCACUGAUCAAACUUGGCAUCGAAUUCUGAUUGCUUCUCUUGUAGUUGAUUUGUCAGUAUGGUGCCUGUUAGACUGUUUACACGUGCUUUUACUCUUGAAUCUUCUACUCCAGUUCCAGACACAAAAACAAUAUCUGUUUUGAAUGGAAUCCUAGCAGAAAUCUGAAAAACUAAGAUAUUUGAAGAAUCUUCGGAUGAGUCAGGUAGCUGCAGGCCAAACUUUCUUACUUGGGCCCCAAGAGUUUGCUGGACAAGAUCAGAUAAAUUGUGAAUAUGAGGUGUCCUGAAGCCAGAAUAGUGGAUCUCCAAAACAUCCUUAGAUUCUAAAUGUAGCUGCCAAUCUCCAAUGUCUGAAUGUGAACCUGAUGCCAGAAGAGAAUUCUCAUGUAUGUCUAUUUUAUCUUUUGUCAAACUUAGAGCACUUCCGUCUUCAUUAGUCAAAUAGAAAAACAAAUGCCCAUUUUGCAGCAUUUCUUUGUUCCAG